rnacentral:rRNA from 1 species
GGCAAACGGGUGAGGAACACGUGAGUAACUUGCCCUUAAGACAGGGAUAGCUUCGUGAAAACGGAGGUAAUAUCUGAUGUGCCCCUGACAUCACAUGAUGACUUGGAUAAAGGUGGGGACCGCAAGGCCUACCGCUUAGGGAUGGACUCGCGUCCUAUCAGCUUGUUGGUGGGGUAAUGGCCUACCAAGGCGUUUGACGGGUAGCUGGUCUGAGAGGAUGGUCAGCCACACUGGGACUGAGACACUGCCCAGACUCCUACGGGAGGCUGCAGUCGAGAAUAUUUAGCAAUGGGCGAAAGCCUGACUAUGCGACGCCGCGUGAGGGAUGAAGGGUUUCGGCUCGUAAACCUCUUUUGUCAGGAAAGAACAUUCUAUGGUUAAUAGCCAUAGAACUGACGGUACCUGACGAAUAAGCCACGGCCAACUCCGUGCCAGCAGCCGCGGUAAUACGGAGGUGGCAAGCGUUACUCGGAAUCAUUGGGUGUAAAGGGCAAGUAGGCGGUUUAUUAUGUGAGGGGUGAAAUCUUCCGACUUAAUCGGAAAAUUGCCUUUCAAACUGAUAAACUUGAGGCAGGUAGAGGGAAAUGGAAUUCCCGGUGUAAGGGUGAAAUCUGUAGAUAUCGGGAAGAACACCAGCUGCGAAGGCGAUUUCCUGGGCCUGUCCUGACGCUGAAUUGCGAAAGCUAGGGGAGCAAACAGAAUUAGAUACUCUGGUAGUCCUAGC